UACGUAGGGACCAAGCGUUGUUCGGAUUUACUGGGCGUAAAGAGCUCGUAGGCGGUCUGUCGCGUCCGUUGUGAAAACUCGAGGCUCAACCUCGGGCCUUGCAGUGGGUACGGGCAGACUAGAGUGCGGUAGGGGAGAUUGGAAUUCCUGGUGUAGCGGUGGAAUGCGCAGAUAUCAGGAGGAACACCAUAGCGGAAGGCAGGAUCUCUGGGCCGUAACUGACGCUGAGGAGCGAAAGCAUGGGGGAGCGAACAGG
rnacentral:rRNA from 1 species